rnacentral:rRNA from 1 species
AACAAACGCUGGCGGCAUGCCUAACACAUGCAAGUCGAACGAGAUCUUCGGGUCUAGUGGCGCACGGGUGCGUAACGCGUGGGAAUCUGCCCUUUGGUUCGGAAUAACAGUUGGAAACGACUGCUAAUACCGGAUGAUGACGAAAGUCCAAAGAUUUAUCGCCAGAGGAUGAGCCCGCGUAGGAUUAGCUAGUUGGUGUAGUAAAGGCGCACCAAGGCGACGAUCCUUAGCUGGUCUGAGAGGAUGAUCAGCCACACUGGGACUGAGACACGGCCCAGACUCCUACGGGAGGCAGCAGUGGGGAAUAUUGGACAAUGGGCGAAAGCCUGAUCCAGCAAUGCCGCGUGAGUGAUGAAGGCCUUAGGGUUGUAAAGCUCUUUUACCCGGGAUGAUAAUGACAGUACCGGGAGAAUAAGCUCCGGCUAACUCCGUGCCAGCCGCCGCAGUAA